UACGGAGGGUGCAAGCGUUAUCCGGAUUCACUGGGUUUAAAGGGUGCGUAGGCGGAUCGGUAAGUCCGUGGUGAAAUCCUGCAGCUUAACUGCAGAACUGCCAUGGAUACUAUUUAUCUUGAAUGUCGUGGAGGUUAGCAGAAUAUGUCAUGUAGCGGUGAAAUGCUUAGAUAUGACGUAGAAUACCCGUUGCGAAGGCAGCUACCUGCGAGAUAAUUGACGCUGAUGCACGAAAGCGUGGGGAUCAAACAGG
rnacentral:rRNA from 1 species